rnacentral:rRNA from 1 species
CGGUUGAUCCUGCCGGAGGUCACUGCUAUUGGGAUUCGACUAAGCCAUGCGAGUCGAGAGGGUUCGGCCCUCGGCAGACGGCUCAGUAACACGUGGAUAAUCUGCCCUUAGGUGGAGGAUAACCUCGGGAAACUGAGAAUAAUACUCCAUAGAUCUAGGAUGCUGGAAUGCACUUAGAUUGAAAGUUCCGGCGCCUAAGGAUGAGUCUGCGGACUAUCAGGUAGUAGUCAGGGUAAAGGCCUGACUAGCCUACGACGGAUACGGGUUGUGAGAGCAAUAACCCGGAGACGAUAUCUGAGACACGAUAUCGGGCCCUACGGGGCGCAGCAGGCGCGAAACCUUCACAAUGUGCGAAAGCGCGAUGAGGGGAUCCCAAGUGCUUGCUCGUAAGAGUAAGCUGUUUUUAUGUCUAAAACGCAUAGAGAGUAAGGGCUGGGUAAGACGGGUGCCAGCCGCCGCGGUAAUACCUGCAGCUCAAGUGGUGACCGCUAUUAUUGGGCCUAAAACGUUCGUAGCCGGUUUGGUAAAUGCCUGGGUAAAUCGUGUAGCUUAACUAUACGAAUUCCGGGUAGACUGCCAAACUUGAGACCGGGAGAAGCUAGAGGUACUCCUUGGGUAGAGGUGAAAUUCUGUAAUCCUGGGGGGACCACCAGUGGCGAAGGCGUCUAGCUAGAACGGGUUUGACGGUGAGGAACGAAGCCCUGGGGCGCAACCCGGAUUAGAUACCCGGGUAGUCCAGGGUGUAAACGCUGCUUGCUUGAUGUUAGUUGGGCUCCGAGCCCAAUUAGUGUCGGAGAGAAGCUGUUAAGCAAGCUGCCUGGGAAGUACGAUCGCAAGAUUGAAACUUAAAGGAAUUGGCGGGGGAGCACAGCAACGGGUGGAGCGUGCGGUUUAAUUGGAUUCAACGCCGG